GACAGAGGUGCCGAGCGUUAGGCGGAAUCACUGGGCUUAAAGCGUGUGUAGGCGGGCCGUUAAGUAUCUUGUGAAAUCCCACGGCUCAACCGUGGAACUGCUGGGUAUACUGGUUCUCUUGAGCGACCCAGGGGCGAGCGGAACAAACGGUGGAGCGGUGAAAUGCGUAGAUAUCGUGUGGAACGCCAAAGGUGAAAACAGCUCGCUGGGGGUCCGCUGACGCUGAGACACGAAAGCCAGGGGAGCGAACGGG
rnacentral:rRNA from 1 species